GCCGAAGUGGUGGAAUUGGUAGACACGCAGGAUUUAGGUUCCUGUGCCCACGGCGUGCGGGUUCGAGUCCCGCCUUCGGCA
rnacentral:tRNA from 1 species